rnacentral:misc_RNA from 1 species
GCCAAUCAUUCCACUUUAUUAGAAAAUCCAUUGAAAAAGUGCGACAUUUCUUUAUAGCAGGUAAACAACUCGAAUAGCGGCUAACAUAUGUUCUCAUGAACCCUCUAAAAGUCUGUAAAGGUCCACUUACAGUAGACUAAAAUCAUAUAUCAUUCACGAUAAACAACCAGUAACUGUUUUCCGACAUUGCGGCCGAAGAAUAAUCCUACUAGAGAUGUCGGACCACUCUCAAGUCCUUCAGCAACAUCUUCUACAGAUACAAUCUUACCUUGUUUGAUGUAUG